rnacentral:rRNA from 1 species
UACGUAGGCAGCAAGCGUUGUUCGGAAUUACUGGGCGUAAAGGGCUCGUAGGCGGCCGACUAAGUCAGACGUGAAAUCCCUCGGCUUAACCGGGGAACUGCGUCUGAUACUGGACGGCUUGAGUUCGGGAGAGGGAUGCGGAAUUCCAGGUGUAGCGGUGAAAUGCGUAGAUAUCUGGAGGAACACCGGUGGCGAAGGCGGCAUCCUGGACCGACACUGACGCUGAUGAGCGAAAGCCAGGGGAGCAAACGGG